CUCCUCCCGGGGGCCCUGCAAAUCCUACUCGCCUGGCAAUUCCCUGGGGCCUUCAUUAGGAGGGUCUUCAAAGGGGCCCAGUCAUCUCUUUGCCUCCUGUCCACGGGCUUCUUUUCAAUCCAGGUCAUGAGCAAAGACUGUAAGGUUUCCCAGUCUUCAGCAGUUCACAGAGAAUGUAGAGUUGGAACCUUGUUUUAUCUUUUAAAAAUAUGAAAAUAGACAAGAACGUGCUCCAGUGCUCAUGGGCCAGGAGCACUCCUCAGACAGCCUGGCUGAGCACUGUAAGGCAGGAUUCCCUACAGAAGCACGGCAGGCCAGGCUCUGAGCGGGACAGUGGAGGAAGUGGUUCACUCCCAAGGUUGGGAGGACCAUGGCAGACAGACUCCUGUUGAUAGCAUCCCACGUGGCCCAGGCUGGCCUCAAAUUGGGUAGCACAGCUGAGAAUGACCUUGAACCCAUGCUCGCCCUGCAAGCACUGGGCUUAUAGGUGUAUACCCCAUGCCUGGCCUUGGUAAUGCUCAACACAGCCAACCACAUCAGACUCCUGCUUGGUGCUGCUAUUGCAGGCCUUAUUAUUGUUCAUGUCUGGAUCUAAUCACCUACGCUAUAUUUUAACGGUGCUGGGGCUGAACCCAGAGCUAUGUGCAGACCAUGGAGCCAUGUCUUCAGCCCCAUCUCGUGUCUUGAUGGAAUAUACGUUGUGUACUCUCGGGAACAAGAGCAAUUUUCCAGCGAUCCUGCAGAUCUUGAACUCACAAUGUCCCUUCUUCAUCCUGGGUGAGGCAGCUAGAGAUUCUGUCAUGGAUUGCAGAGACUGGUCAUUGUGGAUGACUGUCCAAGGGAGUUUUACUGAGGCGACCCCAAACUGCCACCUCUGCCAUUCUUUGGUGCCUGACAGCUCCCUAAGAAUGAAUCUUCCGGGCUGGUGAGAUGGCUCAGUGGGUAAGAGCACCCGACUGCUCUUCCGAAGGUCCGAAGUUCA